rnacentral:rRNA from 1 species
GAUGAACGCUAGCGGCAGGCUUAACACAUGCAAGUCGAGGGGUAUUGGUUUUCGGACCAAGAGACCGGCGCACGGGUGCGUAACGCGUAUGCAAUCUACCUUUUGCAGAGGGAUAGCCCCAGAGAAAUUUGGAUUAAUACCUCAUAGUAUAGUACUUUGGCAUCAAGGAACUAUUAAAGUCACAACGGCAAAAGAUGAGCAUGCGUCCCAUUAGCUAGUUGGUAAGGUAACGGCUUACCAAGGCUACGAUGGGUAGGGGUCCUGAGAGGGAGAUCCCCCCACACUGGUACUGAGACACGGACCAGACUCCUACGGGAGCAGCAGUGAGGAAUAUUGGACAAUGGGCGCAAGCCUGAUCCAGCCAUGCCGCGUGCAGGAUGACGGUCCUAUGGAUUGUAAACUGCUUUUGACAGGAAGAACACUACUUCGUGAAGUAGCUUGACGGUACUGUAAGAAUAAGGAUCGGCUAACUCCGUGCCAGCAGCCGCGGUAAAG